ensembl:lncRNA
AUACACAACUCAACACACACAGGUACACACACACCUCAAUACACACAGGUAUACACAACUCAAUACACACAGGUAGACACACAGGUAUACACACUGGUACACACACACCUCAAUACACACAGGUAGACACACAGGUAUACACACCUCAAUACACACAGGUAUACACACCUCAAUACACACAGGUAUACACACACCAAUACACACAGGUAUACACACACAGGUAUACACACACAGGUAUACACACAGGUAUACACACCUCAAUACACACAGGUACAGACACCUGCACUCAAUUCAACUACCGGUAGUGAACACGUGAUCAGAAAUAGUGAAGUCAUGACAGUGUUUUCCUUGCUAUUGUAUCAUACCCCACCUCCCUGUGCAGAUAGGCAAAUGUCUUUAUUCUGUACAUAUCAUAGUCACAACUUCCUUCACAACACUGCCCUUAAAUGAUUGCAUUUCGAAAAGAGAUCUACAUGACCAGAGGUUGUUCUACAUGACCAGAGGUUGUUCUACAUGACCAGAGGUUGUUCUACAUGACCAGAGGUUGUUCUACAUGACCAGAGGUUGUUCUACAUGACCAGAGGUUAUUCUACAUGACCAGAGGUUAUUCUACAUGACCAGAGGUUGUUCUACAUGACCAGAGGUUGUUCUACAUGACCAGAGGUUGUUCUACAUGACCAGAGGUUGUUCUACAUGACCAGAGGUUGUUCUACAUGACCAGAGGUUGUUCUACAUGACCAGAGGUUGUUCUACAUGACCAGAGGUUGUUCUACAUGACCAGAGGUUGUUCUAUAUGACCAGAGGUUGUUCUAUUCUGUUCUAUAUAAAGGUGUGUGUUUGAGAUGGAACAAAUCAACCCUCUUGAACUGAAAUAGGAUGGGGCGGGUAAAAUACAACACACCGUACAGUACCUAGACUUACCAAACACACACUACACACAUACACCCCCCCCCCCGUGGGGUCCAAAUAUUAACCGUGAAACAAGGUCUCUGUGUGUGAUAAAUAAUAUGGGCAUGUGACCUGGUUCAUAUCUCCUCUGUCUAGAUCAGACCACCUCGUCUCUCGAUUGAGACGUCUCUCUCUCUCGGUGUGUGUGUCCGAGACGUCUCUCUCACUCUCUCGGUGUGUGUGUCCGAGACGUCUCUCCCUCUCUCGGUGUGUGUGUCCGAGACGUCUCUCCCUCUCUCGGUGUGUGUGUCCGAGACGUCUCUCCCUCUCUCGGUGUGUGUGUCCGAGACGUCUCUCCCUCUCUCUCGGUGUGUGUGUCCGAGACGUCACUCUCUCGGUGUGUGUGUCCGAGACGUCUCUCACUCUCUCGGUGUGUGUGUCCGAGACGUCUCUCCCUCUCUCGGUGUGUGUGUCCGAGACGUCUCUCCCUCUCUCGGUGUGUGUGUCCGAGACGUCUCUCCCUCUCUCGGUGUGUGUGUCCGAGACGUCUCUCCCUCUCUCGGUGUGUGUGUCCGAGACGUCUCUCCCUCUCUCGGUGUGUGUGUCCGAGACGUCACUCCUCUCUCUCGGUGUGUGUCCGAGACGUCACUCUCUCGGUGUGUGUGUCCGAGACGUCACUCUCUCGGUGUGUGUGUCCGAGACGUCACUCUCUCGGUGUGUGUGUCCGAGACGUCACUCUCUCGGUGUGUGUGUCCGAGACGUCACUCUCUCGGUGUGUGUGUCCGAGACGUCACUCUCUCUGUGUGUGUCCGAGAC